GUCUUCUUGAUUAUAAUUUGAAGUCUGACCUGCUCUAUGAUUUUUAAAUGGCCGCAGUAUUUUGACUGUGCUAAGGUAGCAUAAUAAUUAGUUUCUUAAUUAGAAGCUUGUAUGAAUGGUUUGAUGAGAAAACUGCUUUCUUAUAAUUAAUUUUUUGAAUUUUAUCUUUAAGUUAAAAAGCUUAAAUUUAUUUAGGGGACGAGAAGACCCUUUAGAAUUUUAUAUAAUUUAAAGUUAAUUUUUUUUUGGAAUUAAGUAAUUAAUUUAAAAUUGUAUUUAGUUGGGGUGACUGAAAAAUUUAGUUAACUUUUUUUAUUUUUUACAUUAUAAAAGGUUUUAUGAUCCGUUAAACGAUUAUAAGAAAAAAUUACCUAAGGGAUAACAGCGUUAUAAUUUUUUAGAGUUCUUAUCGAAAAAAUUGAUUGCGACCUCGAUGUUGGAUUAGAAUUUCUUCUAGGUGCAGAAGCUUAGGGAGAGGGUCUGUUCGACCCUUAAAUUUCUACA
rnacentral:rRNA from 1 species